rnacentral:rRNA from 1 species
UUUAUUAUAUACCCCCGCGCGUGUGUGAAAUACUAGCAUAUCAAUAAAGCGGGAGGGAAAAAGAAACCAAACAGGGGAUUUGCCUUUAGUAACUGCGAGUGAAGCGGCAAAAGCUCAAAUUUGAAAUGAGGGCCCGUUGAUUGUCUGAUUAAUCAGCUCUCGACCCCUCAGUUGUAAUUUAGAGGAUUGCCAUGGUGAUAGCGCCCAUACGAAGUUCUUUGGAACAAGACACCAAUGAGGGUGAUAGUCCCGUCAGAUGAAAAAUGGUGCGCUACGGUGUCCGAUAUGGCAUAUCCGACGAGUCGAGUUGUUUGGGAAUGCAGCUCAAAAUGGGUGGUAAAUUUCAUCUAAAGCUAAAUACAGGCUGGAGACCGAUAGCGAACAAGUAGAGUGAUCGAAAGAUGAAAAGCACUUUGAAAAGAGAGUUAAAUAGUACGUGAAAUUGUUGAAAGGGAAGCGCUUGAGACCAGAUUCGGCUGGCGGUGUUCAUCCAUGCAAAUUUCUGCAUGGUGUAUGUGCCGUUGGUUGAGCCAGCAUCGGUUCUAAUGGCGGGAUAAAGGUUCGAGGAAUGUGGCUCCAAAAUUAUGCGGAGUGUUAUAGCCUUGAGUGCAAUGUCGCCUAUUGGAAUCGAGGACCGCGCUUCGGCUAGGAUGUUGGCUAAAAGGUCUUAAGCGGCCCGUCUUGAAACACGGACCAAGGAGUCUAACAUCUAUGCGAGUGUUUUGGCAUGAAACCAUUGCGCGUAAUGAAAGUGAACGAGGUGGGAACCCCCAAGUUGGGAUGCACCAUCGACCGAUCCUGAAGUUUACGGAAGGAUUUGAGUAGAAGCAUAGCUGUUGGGACCCGAAAGAUGGUGAACUAUGCCUGAAUAGGGUGAAGCCAGAGGAAACUCUGGUGGAGGCUCGCAGCGGUUCUGACGUGCAAAUCGAUCGUCAAAUUUGGGGUAUAGGGGGGCGAAAGACUAAUUCGAAACCAUUCUUAGUAGCUGGGUUCCCUGCCCGAGUUUUUUCCCCCUAAGAGAGAG